AAGAGAAAUAAAAUGACAAGAAUACAAAAAGGGCGGAAAAGUGAAGGUUGGGUCCCAAAACACCCAAGCAGCGUGCGUUCACCCUCCUUCCAAGAGGGGGGCCCUCCAAAAUAACCAGUCUUCUUAUUCACACAGCCAUUCUCCCACGCCCAGGUGUGAGUGCUACUUUAUCACGGCCCUAAGACACGGCUUAAUGAUUCAACUUCUUACUUUAUGGGACGUAUUAUGCUGCAUUGCCUUUCUCUUUACAAGGACCAUGGAUGAUAUUGACAAUCAAAGCUUACUGAUUUCGAAAUCAAUCAUUGAUUAUAGACUACAGUACACGUUGCAUGAUCCUCACCUCUCUCUUUCCAAUUUGCACAUCCUUUGCGAGAAACUCUUCAAUCUUGAGCAAAUCCUUCCUUCAUGCCCAGUACAUGUUCACCUGACUUAUUCUGUUCACACCAUUAACUUCUAAUAAUUAACAAGUAACUAAUAAACCUAGUACAGCAACUAGUAUUACUUGAAGUUUUGCCACUCAUGAAGCAUCAAGUCCUAAAGCUUUUGCUUUGAGCUUCAAGGAUUUCAGGUAAUUAAUAGCUUCAUCGAGAACAACAGUUGCAUCCUUGCCCUUUCCACCUGGAAUUAUGUUCUGCAGAAUGCUCACAGUCUCUCGUAUUCUUUCUUUUCUUAUCCUUUUCUUGGUUGGUUCUGAAUUCAUCUCACCUGAGGUCCAAUCCAAGCCAUCUUCACACCUAGAUUCAGCAUCAUCCUCAAACUCGCAACUUCUGAUGGGUUUCAUAGAACUAGCAGUGUCCAUUAGUGCUGGUAAAACACUGUAACCACCUUCAAACAGUUUUCGCUUUUUAGUUGAACCAUCGGAACUUGCAACCUCUUCUAUGCUUCCCUCAAACCAAUCUUGAUUAUUGUGAGCUGUCAUUGUACUAGGUGAGUGACCUGUACUGGUAACUUCAUCAUCAUCAGUGGAAUCACUAUCAUCAUCCGAGUACAGCAAAGCAUUCAGUUCUUCAGUGUCCUCAUGCAUAUCACUUUGUAAUUCAGUAUCAUUUUUUCCUCCAAGUUGGUUAGCUGAGAUAGCCUCUAAAUGAAUAUUUUCCUUAGUCCCAUGAUCUUCCCUCUUCAAAUUAUAUGCAGCAAUUGGAUUUGGACUCCACGAAGUAAAGCACUGGACAGGAGCCCCAGUACCAGAACUAAAGAUCAGAGUUGUUUGAUCACCUGACUGAUCAAAAACCAGGAAUUUCUUCUGAUGACAACCAGGCUCUACCUUGGGUGCAAUGGCCUCCUUAUGAUCGUCACAAGGGACAGUAACAAGUUUUUCUUUGAGACCAGAGUUCAAAGCAGGCAUGAAAGCCUGUCGGAAACAAGGCAAACGGUAAAACCAACCAUGAGGCUCCUCUGCUUGACCAACAUGCAAGUGAGAUAGCUCAGGGGGCGGAUAUACAGGUAAAGUCCCCUUUAUAGAAACCAUGUCAGUGCCAGAGUUCAUAAAUGAAGGGGCUGUAUACUGCUGCCCCAAGUUAUAUGGAGCACCCAAAUAAUUCAAAUUCGGCGAUUGCCAAUCAAAUUGUUGCUGAUGAAACCAGGAUCCCCAGUCCUCACCCAUCCAACUAUAACAAUCACCUAUACAGAAGGAUUUCUGCAGUAAUAAAAGAGGCAGUUCACUUGCUGUUUCUUUCAGUAAUAAUAAAAAAAAACAAAAGACUCCAGCUUAACUUGAAAACAG
rnacentral:misc_RNA from 1 species